ACCUCUCCCUUCUCCCUACCUCCUCCCCACUCCACUAGAAUGUAAGCUCCCUGUUGGCAAGGACAGAGCUGGGACCAUGGUUGGUCAUGGCUCUCUCCUCUGUGCCUAGAACAGCACCUGCACAUUGUAAAAACCCAGUAACUGUCUGUGUUAAUUUUCUACUGGUGAUUUAAACCAGAAGAUGUAACUUUGUCACUGUGAAAACAAUUGAAUGUCCAGGACCUGGUGGCAUCAUUUACUUAGUACUACAUUCAUCUACUGGUGAGAGAGGUUGUGGCUUCUGGUCAAUGCCAUCUGGACUUCUCAUCUGUAAAUGGACUAAUCCACUGACAUCCUGCAGAAAAUCCAGAACCAGCUGUCUUCUCCUCAUCCUCAGGCACUUCCCAGUGACCUGAUGAUCUCAUUUCUGGUCUCAAACCAACAUUGCUGUAGUAUAUUCCUCAGGAGAACGAGGCCCUCAACACCUGCUUGGUUUCUUCCUGCCUUCACAGAGAGGAGUCUGAGAACCCAAAGGAAAAACAAAACAAGUGAUCCACAGGGAAAGAAAAAAAAAAAGGAUGGAGAGAAGUUAUUUUCUUUGAUAACUAUGUGUGA